rnacentral:rRNA from 1 species
AGAGUUUGAUCAUGGCUCAGGACGAACGCUGGCGGCGUGCUUAACACAUGCAAGUCGAACGGUGAAGCCCCUUCGGGGGUGGAUCAGUGGCGAACGGGUGAGUAACACGUGAGCAACCUGCCCCUGACUCCGGGAUAACUCCGGGAAACCGGUGCUAAUACUGGAUAUGACGUACGAGGGCAUCCUCUGUGCGUGGAAAGUUUUUCGGUUGGGGAUGGGCUCGCGGCCUAUCAGCUUGUUGGUGGGGUGAUGGCCUACCAAGGCGACGACGGGUAGCCGGCCUGAGAGGGCGACCGGCCACACUGGGACUGAGACACGGCCCAGACUCCUACGGGAGGCAGCAGUGGGGAAUAUUGCGCAAUGGGCGAAAGCCUGACGCAGCGACGCCGCGUGAGGGAUGAAGGCCUUCGGGUCGUAAACCUCUUUCAGCAGGGAAGAAGCGCAAGUGACGGUACCUGCAGAAGAAGCACCGGCUAACUACGUGCCAGCAGCCGCGGUAAUACGUAGGGUGCAAGCGUUGUCCGGAAUUAUUGGGCGUAAAGAGCUCGUAGGCGGUUUGUCGCGUCUGCUGUGAAAACUCAGGGCUUAACUCUGAGCUUGCAGUGGGUACGGGCAGACUAGAGUGCGGUAGGGGAGACUGGAAUUCCUGGUGUAGCGGUGAAAUGCGCAGAUAUCAGGAGGAACACCGGUGGCGAAGGCGGGUCUCUGGGCCGCUACUGACGCUGAGGAGCGAAAGCAUGGGGAGCGAACAGGAUUAGAUACCCUAGUAGUCC